AGCACCAUUAUUAAUACAAUAACAUGAAGAUAAAAGUUGUCUUCAUUUUGUAGUUGGGAUAACUGAUGAUAUCUCAGAUAACUGGUAGGUUAAGACCAUAUGGCUAGUGGGAAGUAGGUCCAGGUUUUCAACUCCAAUAAUAAGGCUUCAGGACCUGAAUCCUUAAGUGAACCAGAAAUAAAUAGGACUUGUAUUUUAUAGGAAUCAAUAAAGACUUUAUUGGAAUAAGUAAAAACAGGUUGCUUUUGGGAGCAUAGAAAUAUGGGUGUUUUCAGACUGAGGUGACCAGAGAUGCUUUCUGGAGAGGAUGGGAUUUGAAGCAGGCUUUUGAAAAUGGCCACUGCCCCUGAAUUGUGACAUCAGACAAAAUACUAAGAUGAUCUCCCGAGCAUCUUCUCAAAUGUCAUUUAAAAAGUCCUUCAUACCUAUCCUCUUGAGUAGGAAGCUCUAAUUAAAUUUGCAGAAUGUUUUGCAGGAACAUCUGAGAGUGAAAUAUGAAUAGUCCUACCUUCCAGAAGGUUUUCUGUGAGGAGCCUCAGAGUGUGAAGAGAUUUCACUACAGAGAGAAGACACGAUUCCAGAUCCUGUUAUCCUUAACUAUUUCGAUUUGUUGAUGUGCGUAUGUUCUCAGUCAUGGCUGAAUCUUUGUGACCCCACAGAAUAUAGCCCACCAGACUCCUUCCACAGGAUUCUCCAGAUGCACAGAAUUGUAUCGACAGCCAACUUAUAGCAGCAUGAGGAACCUUGCUACAGAUGAUGGGAAUCUGUCAAAAGAUUGUAAUCAAGGGAAUGGACACAAAUCUGCAGUUGCUUUACCAGUUCCUUUUAUAUUCAACCUCUUGUUCAUUGACAAAGCCAACAGAGAUAAGGCUGAGAUCAGACAUGGCCUUCUUCAUCAUUGCUUCACUGUAGGCCAGACAAGAUUUAAUUUUGGAGAAAGCCAUUGCAUUACCGGUGAAUUUUGAGGGAGCAGUACAUCAUUUCUAAA
rnacentral:lncRNA from 1 species